GCUUCGAUGUAUUAUUUGUCAACCAAAAGUUUUCCCUUUCUAAUUUGAGCGUGAGAUUGAAAAUUCAUUCACUUUAUCUUGGCGCGCGAGACCUUAUUCUCUUCUCAAACUUUUCUCGAACGAAGUUUGGCAACCAUCAUAUGUAAUCUUUCUUCCAUUUGAUACAAAUGCAUGUUAAUUAACUACUUUAUGUAUGAUUUUUGUUUGUUUUGACCGAUUAUUUUUGUGCUCUUGUCCUUCAUAGGCGCAUUUUGCUU
rnacentral:lncRNA from 1 species